UAGAGGUGGCGGCCUCCGCGGCCCCUUUGAUGGAUGUCCAGCCGAUGGACGGGCUGCGUGGGUGUGAGGGGCAGGAGUCCGGCCUCCGAGCAGUGGGCGGUUGCGGACGGGAGGCGCGAGGAGUGCCGGGACACCGAGGUCCGCUGCCCCGCCGGCCCCUACUGGUCUUUUGACUCCCAGGAAGAAGAAUUCCUCUGUGUGGAAAAUGGCAUUUUAAAAUAUCAAAACCAUUGCUUGGGCAUUUUCUAGGAUAACAUUAGGGGCUGAAAUGCUAAAUUCUAUCUUCAAUUUCUACUAUGUAAAGGCUUUUUUACACCUGUACAAGAUUUCAGAAGUGGCCUUUUACCAAGCGCAGUUUUCAGGCCAUCACUGUUGUCAUGCUAUUCUUGCUACUGCCAGCCUUUACAUUGGCAUGCGCCACGUGAGUCACUUAGAACCUAAAAGAAGCCCUGAGGAAAACCCUUUCUCAGAAACUGAAUAGGAUCUCCCCUGGACCUCCAUCAUCUCACUGAUGAGACAAAUCUUGAUCCAGAAAAACUUUCGCCUUUUUCUGACUAUGAAUUUCUUCCAAGUCUUCCAUUUAACCUUCUUCAGUAACUUCAUGAUGAUCUCUGUUGAUAAUCUCAUUCCUAAGGAUGUUCUUCCUUCUUCCAUAAGCGGCAUCAGGCUUUAUCU